AUGGCAGCGAGACUUGUUGCAUUCCUCAAGAAUGCCUGAGCCAAUGUGUCCUUAACCAUCACCAGCUUCUGUGAUUCUGCCCCUACUCAGCCCCUACACCAAGUAGGCCAUCAUGAUCAAUCAGGACACACCCUACAACUACCCAGUGCCCCUUCUACAUGAUGAGAACAUGCCUGAUGUGUCCAGCCACCAUCAGGACCCCCCAGGUGCUCUAGGGCCCAAGCUUGGAGUG
rnacentral:lncRNA from 1 species